UAUGAACACAUGAUAUUUUACUUAUUAUUUUAAACCCCUUUAACACAAACUUAUAUUGUUUUGACACACUUAUUUAUUCGAUUCUGGAGAAAGUAUAGUAAAGAGGAAAGGUAACCUCAAAUGUUCAAGCACUCAAGUCAGUGAAAUACACAGGAGAGAGAAAAUCACAACAAACUUGUUUUGUUAUGAAUUAUAUUAUUAAUAGGAGAC
rnacentral:lncRNA from 1 species